rnacentral:sRNA from 1 species
AUAUUCUCCGCCGGGGGGGGGAUGAGAACCCCCGACCGGGGUUCGACAACUGGCGCAGCCAGUUGGACAGACCGCGAGCCCGCGAGCGGGCUGCCCCGCAGGGGCGAGCGAAGCGAGUCAAUCCCCCCUCACCGCCA